rnacentral:rRNA from 1 species
UACGUAGGGUGCAAGCGUUGUCCGGAAUUAUUGGGCGUAAAGAGCUCGUAGGCGGUUUGUCGCGUCUGCUGUGAAAACUCAGGGCUUAACCCUGAGCCUGCAGUGGGUACGGGCAGACUAGAGUGUGGUAGGGGAGAUCGGAAUCCUGGUGUAGCGGUGGAAUGCGCAGAUAUCAGGAGGAACACCGGUGGCGAAGGCGGAUCAUCGUGGGCCAGUAAACUGACGCUGGAGGAGCGAAAGCAUGGGGAGCGAACAGGAAUUAGACUACCC